GCUUCAGGACAGACCCAUGGAAUAGGAUGGAGUGGGUAUGGAAGAAGCAUUCUCAGAAGGGAUGGUACAUAACACAUAAGGACCACUACAGAAAUCCCCUUGGCACAGUCAGAGGUGCUGUGCUGGUAGCAGCUCUGUGUCCACAGUGGUUUCAUCCAUUGUUCACCAUAUCUUAGACUCGUGCUUUGAGUCCUUACAGUAAGCACAGGCUAAUGUUUAAAAUGCUUUUGCAUUCCAAGUGAGUCCCUGGAAGGCCUUCAGGGAAAGGAAAGACGUUUCUAAGCAGAUAAUUGUAAGCAGCUUUUCAGAUUUUGGAUACCUUUGAGGUGGGCCUGCUUUGCCUCUGCUCAUUCACAGCAGUUUAUUUCUCCAAACAGUUGCUUUCUAUUCCAAAACAAAUUCAUCUCAGUAACCGCUUUUUCCUUUGAUGUGCUUCACACUGAGAUACAACUGAAUGGCUGGGGACAGUGGUAGGUAUUCUACUUGCCUUGUUUGAACAUUAACAGGAGAUGAAUUUUCUCUCAUCCCUCUGGAAUUUCCCUACUGGGCAAACAGUUAUGAGCUGUUAGCAACAGGAGACAACAGCACUGCUUAAGAAUAAUACCCAAAAAAGCACUUGUAAUGCUUUUGAACUCUCUGCUCGUUGUAGUGCAACCUGCAUAGUGACAACUUCAUGUUCACUUGGAUCUGGUGGAAGGUGUGGAAUAACUGAGCUACAGCUCUUCUGGCUGCCUUUAGUCUUUCCUUCCCUACCGUCUCCUCCUCCUGUACUGCUGGCACAUCCUUUGCACAACGUCUAACGCAUCCAUCUGUUCAGCUGAGGUAAGGAUCUGCCUUUACACACGCAGAUAGGAAUCUCAAACCAAAGGACGCGUUCUGUGAGCCUGGAGCUUUGCUUCUCUUCAGCAGCGAUGUUUCCACUGAACAUGAGACGGUUUGGUUAGUCAUGAUUUCCAGAAGUGCUCAUGAAUAACUAUGAGGUACCAUUGUGGGUUUGGAAAAUAAACAUUUACAACAGUCCUCCGCUAAGAAGCUGGAUCAGAGUCCUUCCAAGGUUUGGAAUUGAUUGAGGUAAUCUCAUUUGCUGAAGCAGUAUCGUGGAACUUGUCUGCUAGCGAGAGAACCAGUUUGAAGAGGGAGCUUCCAAAGAGAACUGCUAAGAAGGGCAAAGAGGGGUGCUGGCACUGGUCUUCGCCAUCAUCCCUUCAAGUCAUGGGUUACAGGAACCAUCUGAUUGAUGCGGGUGCUGUCUGAUGGGCGGCCGCACUGCGGUGUCCACACAGCAGGUUUGCCUCUGCGUGCAGCAGUGCUCCUCAUCCUUCCUAAAGGAAGCACAACAGUUUGCCUUCAGUCUUCUUAGAGGCUGAAAGAAGUGACUUCAAGUGUCUGUCUACAGGUUUUCUGAAAGCAAGCUGGGCAAGCAACAAGCAAGAGAGCAGGUUGAGCUGACCCUGCCAGGUCCAACGUGGGCUGAAUGCCCUCUCAAAAUCCCUUUUGGAAAAGCUUUGCAUUAACAUUUGGCUCAAAUCUGCCUGCAGGGAGAUAAGAAGCAUUGGAGAGCACUUGUCAGGACAAAGAAUGCCAGAGAAACCAGGGCAGGUGCUUUUUGACAGUGGAAUUUUGUAAUUAGCUUGCUUGAAGUUGGAAAUCCCACACAAAACCUCUCCAGUGUGUAACGCAGCCGUUGUUUGGUGUGCUGGACAUCAGACUUUGCAUGCAGUUUUGUUUCUUACGCUUCUGAAAUCCCUCAAAGAACCGUCGUACCGUUCUUCUGGUGGCAGUGUCUCUGCGAAGCCAUCCACAGACAUUGCCCUUCUUCCAUCCAGUCCUCUGCUACCUGUGCAGCUGUGAUGGGAGCGAGCGUUGCACCGUGGAUUCCAUUGCUUAAGCCCUUGUUCCUCACAGACAGAACUGCUUUCUAUCUGAUCUUCUUCAGGCACAAGCAGGCAGCAAGGUGGGCGUUGCACUGCUCUGCCAGGGCGCAGAGGUGGUUGCCAGCUCCAACAAGCACAAAAGCACGUGGUGAAAGCUUCAUCCUUUGAACUACGCGUCCUUCAGAAACCUGUAGAGUUUGUGUUCCAGUUCAGUUCCCAGCCAAGAGCUGCUGUGCAGGCUCAGAAAGCAAACAGCCUGGCUCCAGCCCUUCUGCAGCCCUCCUUAAGCAGCAUAUUUUUGAGUCACACUCAAUGCAGCGGGCUAAGUAUUCCUUGUGCUGCUUCUGGGAAGGCCGAGCGAAGUCCGAUAACUCACCUACCAAGUUCCAGCGACGGGGAAGGAAGUACAGAGAAUCAAAUAGAAACCAGCAUCAGGAAAUCUGCACGUGAGACCGCUGCCAUCCCUCCGGCCCUCCAUCUGCUCCCUCGCACCGCAGAGCUGAGGAUGCCCUUCAGCCCACGUGGCCGAGCGCCGCAGCCCCCCAGCACGCAUCCCUGCUGACCUCAUGUGCUUGGGAAGUCAUAAUUUCCUCCUACUUCCAGAGAAAAAUGACCAAACCUCCCCUGCUCUACAUUCUCUGGGUUGCAGCUAAGUCACGGCACAGCUGUGCUACAUCUGGGAGAGCAUCAGCCAGCUGAGGAUCAGGGCUGGCACACAGCGCCCAGCAAUGAGUGAUGCUGCGAUGACUUCUAACGUUGCUCAGCCAUUUUGGGGCAGUAGGCUGUGUGAGUCUGCGCUGUGUAAGACAGAAAAUGAAAACGUUUCUAAAGGCUAAGCAAAUAAUUGCUGUGGGAAGACCCUGUUUUGGGAUGAUGAAUGUAUGAAGUGCGCUGUAGUCAACAGUGAGAGUGCUCUGUGAUUGGAGCUGCAGCCCUUCCAAGCUGCUUGACCUUGUUUCCCAGAAAGCUGUUGUAAGCUAAAAAGGCAUCAAAGUUUACCAACAUAGUCAGUAUUUUGUCAAGCUGGCAAGCUCAGCAGAACCAAAUGAUGGCUGAACACAUGAAGAAAUCUGCUGCAGACGUGACCCAGUUUGCUGGACAAAUUCCUCUCAGUGACCUCUUAAGCUUCUCAGAGCAAAAGCAAACUUGUCUAUAAAGGACAACUGUCCUGCCAACACCCACUCCAAUACUUGCAAACAAGUUGGUGAAUCACACAGAGGUGGUUGGAGGAUAGUCACCUGUUCUGGCUGUGCUGCCAGCUGACGUGCAGUAAUUUCCUUUUCUGAAAUGUGCUUCCUGCAGAGAUCCACAAACAUCUUCAAAGUGUGGAGCCUGGAAAUCUCAUCACAUUUUCCAGUGGGGAAAGAUGGGACCUUUGGGCAGCCGGGUGGACAGAGAGGUACAGGGUGAGCAGCUUCCUGCACAUCCCCUGAAAGCAAUGGGAGGUUGAGGCCCCAUUGCUCACCCCGGUGCCCCUGAAACGAGCGCAGGCUGCUUUGCACAGCACCCCUCAGCUGCUGCUGCUCUUGCACACGGCUGACUUCCUCCAACUCACUUCUUCCCUGGCACCGGCCCUGCAGCACCUGCACGGCUCCAACCCACUGCUGGGCACCGCUCUGCGGAGAUAACCACGUGCAGCAGCGAGGGACGAGUCUCAGCAGGGAGAGCGUGGGCACAGCGGGGGAUUGCAGGCAGAAAUAAAAAAACCCUACAAUCAAAUAAAGCCCGUGCUUUAAAGGAGAUAAGAUCAGAGCCUCUGCGGAAUGGCGACGGGCGGAUUGGAACAAGCUCGGUGUGCGUUCGCCUUAUCCCGCGUUCUCUCCCCCGGGCUCAGCGUCGCUCCCAGGGCUGAGCGCAGGAGGACGCCGCUCCAUCGCAGCGCUGCCGACGCGGGGAUGCCUGCAGGCCAAGGGGAGACUUUGACAUCUGAUCCGGUCGUGACCCCACGGCUGGGGCCGAUUGCGUUCCAAAGCCGCACCAGUCACGUUCCCACCGCACACCUCCAAAACCCCCCCCGGGUGCCUUCCAGCGCCUCCUGCCCUCCCUGCUGACACCGACACGUGAAGCGGCGCCGCGUGACCUCACCGUACAAACUCGUACCGGCUCCUUCAACCCCCGUUCGUCAUUCACCCAUCCCCAUCCCAACCCCUGCGGGGCACCGCGCUGCUUUGGGCGCAUCGCAGCAGGACGUGUCCCAACCCCUCCUGCCGCCGGAGCCGGGAUUUGGGAGCUCCGGCCGUGAGUCAGCGCCGCACCUGAGACACCGACUCAUCCCGUGCGGGACACGCAGCUGUGCAUCAACUGCUUCAAUGAACUCCGGGGUAUUUCUUUUCUUCUUCCUGUUUUAAGUACGUACGCGCGUCGGGUGAUAGGGAAGACCGGCGUGAGAUUGGAGUUUCUGUGCGGAGCUCGCAGCCUUAGGGGAAAUUGGCUUCUGUGCACAAAGCGUCUGAGUCAGCCCUGGGGAAGAACUGCAUCCACACGUAACGUGACUGCGUUCUGCCCUCCGGUGCAGCUUAUAACGAAAAGUAUCGUUUAAAUUACCGGGAAGAAAUCAGUGCUGCCAACUGCUGGAAACCUCAGUGAAACCCCAUGGGGGGGGUUUAUCCUCUCAGUUGCUUCACCCUCACAAGUGGUGGUAUUACAGUGUGAGCAGCCCCACGAGCUGCAGUGUUACUUUGGCACCACGGGACUGGUGUGGGAUCUCACAGCAGAGCCCCGUUUCCCAGAACCCAACCAGCAUCCACCUGCUGGCACGUUUGCAUGCUGCUCUAAAGGUCAGCACUAACCAGAAAGAUCCCCUGCCACGCUAUCUGAGAGCCUGCACCAAGGAGAAGCUUCACCAUGCAGAAAUCCCCACUGGAGCAGCACAAACCCUGCAGGCAGGGCUGGCAUUUAUCACAGCCACGAAACGGCCCCAGUGCCCAGAAUGUCACCUGCCUGCAAACCACACUAAGGGCCGCAGCUCCCUCGCACACCAGGCUGGCACUGAUGGCCGCUCCUUAACCAGCCCUGCAUCACAGCAGCGGGGCAAUGUCAGCUCCAAGUGGCAUCUGACACAGGCUGAGUUAUCCCAUUGUCUCAGCAUCCUCACCCAGGCCAGCUGGCUGAGAUCUGCAGCUCUGGGGCAGCAGAGAAGGAUCUGAGCUGGCACUGGGAGUCCCAGCAGCAGAGCACCACGCUGUGGGGCAGCACAUGCAUCUGUUCUGCAUCGCACGCGGUGUCUGCAAGGCUCCUCAGCUCUCACAGACCUCGAGGGUGGGAGCAAAGCUCUGCUCUGCUGGAUGGGACAAAGAUCUGCAUGGCCUAAGAACAGCCUAAAACAAAAAACAAAAAAACAAAAAAACAAAAAAAAACCCAACAGUACAACCUGGAAAAACCCAAACAGCACCAACAUCCAGCUGCAGGAAGCGUUCCUGGGCUCUCCUCCAACUCAGUUGUUCUGGGUGAGACAGAACGUACCGCACAGCCCACGUGCAUCACUGACCCUGCUCCUGCACUGCUCUCCACAUGGAGCUGAGGGCAGCAGGGCUGAGCAUGGACACAUCUGGCUGAACACCAACGCAGUUGGCCCUGUGCUCAGCCUUAACCACUGCCUGGGCAGACCCGGACUCUGUGAACCCCACAUUUUGUCUUAUGGGCAGAAAAAGCAACACAGGGCAUCCCGACACCCCAGGUGGGAGGCAGCCAUGCAGCAAUGGGCUCACAUCCCUGAAAGGUCUUUGUUCACAAAAAACAUGCCCAGAAGAAGCCCCUCUCUCUCUAGAGGAACCACCCAGCCAGACCAGCAACCAACUCUAAUCAUAGCAUCACUUAGGCUGGAAGAGACCCUACGAGGCCAUCAAGCCCAACUGAUCCACGCUGGUGCAUGGGAGCAGAGCAGGAGCUGCCCCUCACCAUGUGUUUCACUGUGCUCUGAACAACUCACUGGGGGAAAACAACCCAUGUCAAAGCCCAGGCUCUUCCCAGAAACAACUCAGCAAAAAGAGCCCUAAAAAAGCCAAACUCAUUCAAGAUGGAAGAGAAGAACAUUGUGUCAGCCCUGCCCCGGAUGCACAGUGCCCAGCUGGGGCACCCUGGUGACUUCCACAAGCGACUGUAAAAAGCCCUGAGGGAAGUGAGGCAGUGAUGGGCAGUGGUGGCUGAUGGCAGCGUGGGGGC